rnacentral:rRNA from 1 species
AGAGUUUGAUCCUGGCUCAGGACGAACGCUGGCGGCGCGCCUAACACAUGCAAGUCGAACGAGCGAGAGAGAGCUUGCUUUCUCAAGCGAGUGGCGAACGGGUGAGUAACGCGUGAGGAACCUGCCUCAAAGAGGGGGACAACAGUUGGAAACGACUGCUAAUACCGCAUAAGCCCACGGGUCGGCAUCGACCAGAGGGAAAAGGAGCAAUCCGCUUUGAGAUGGCCUCGCGUCCGAUUAGCUAGUUGGUGAGGUAAUGGCCCACCAAGGCGACGAUCGGUAGCCGGACUGAGAGGUUGAACGGCCACAUUGGGACUGAGACACGGCCCAGACUCCUACGGGAGGCAGCAGUGGGGAAUAUUGCACAAUGGGGGAAACCCUGAUGCAGCGACGCCGCGUGGAGGAAGAAGGUCUUCGGAUUGUAAACUCCUGUUGUUGAGGAAGAUAAUGACGGUACUCAACAAGGAAGUGACGGCUAACUACGUGCCAGCAGCCGCGGUAAAACGUAGGUCACAAGCGUUGUCCGGAAUUACUGGGUGUAAAGGGAGCGCAGGCGGGAAGACAAGUUGGAAGUGAAAUCUAUGGGCUCAACCCAUAAACUGCUUUCAAAACUGUUUUUCUUGAGUAGUGCAGAGGUAGGCGGAAUUCCCGGUGUAGCGGUGGAAUGCGUAGAUAUCGGGAGGAACACCAGUGGCGAAGGCGGCCUACUGGGCACCAACUGACGCUGAGGCUCGAAAGUGUGGGUAGCAAACAGGAUUAGAUACCCUGGUAGUCCACACCGUAAACGAUGAUUACUAGGUGUUGGAGGAUUGACCCCUUCAGUGCCGCAGUUAACACAAUAAGUAAUCCACCUGGGGAGUACGACCGCAAGGUUGAAACUCAAAGGAAUUGACGGGGGCCCGCACAAGCAGUGGAGUAU